rnacentral:rRNA from 1 species
UACAGGGGGGUGCAAACGUUGCUCGGAAUCAUUGGGCGUAAAGCGCACGUAGGCGGUCUGUUAUGUCGGAUGUGAAAGCCCUUGGCUCAACUGAGGAAGUGCGCCCCGAAAACUGCAGAGCUUGAGUGCCGGAGAGGGUGGCGGAAUUCCCCCAAGUAGAGGUGAAAAUUCGUAGAUAUGGGGGAGGAACACCGGUGGCGAAGGCGGCCACCUGGACGGUAACUGACGCUGAGACGCGAAAGCGUGGGGAGCAAAACAGG